CUUAUGUUAAAAUCUUUUUAAGAAUGGGAACAUAUCAGAUUUUGUUUUUAGAUAGUAUAUCUGAUUAUGCAGCAGUUAAUGAAACUGUGAAAUUAUCUAAGAAAUAUGAUAAAAAAUCUUCUGGUUUCAUAAAUGCUAUUCUUAGAAAUGAAAUAAGAGCUAAAGAGACUAUAAUGGACAUAACUGAGGAAGAUAGUGUAAAAUACCUAUCUAUAAAGUAUUCCUAUAACUCUUGGAUUAUAAAAAACUGGAUAGAUAAAUUUGGACAAGAAUUUGCUGAAGAUUUAUUGGAAGCGAAUAGUGAAAAGCCUAGUAUCUAUAUAAGAACGAAUAUGCUUAAAAUAAGUCGAGAAGAACUUAUUGAAAAAUUAAGUGAAAUGGGUAUUGUAUGUUUAAAAGUUCCUAUGGUAGAAGAAGCUAUUAAAGUCGAAAAAAUGAAAAAUAUAGAAAAAAAUGAAUUAUUUAAGGCUGGUUUAUUUACAAUUCAAGAUAUAAGUUCUAUGAUAGUAGGGAAAGUAAUUAAUCCAAAAGAAGACUCAUUUGUUUUGGACGUAUGUAGUGCUCCUGGAGGAAAAUCUACUCACUUAGCCACUUUAAUGAACAACACUGGUCAAGUAGUAGCUAGAGAUAUUUUUGAGCAUAAACUAAAACUUAUAAAAUCUACUGUAAACAGAUUGGGACUUAAAAAUGUAUGUGUAGAAAGAUUUGAUGCUUCUGAGAUUGAUGAAAAUAGUAUAAGUAAAUUUGAUUAUGUUUUAGCAGAUGUUCCUUGCUCUGGUCUUGGUAUAAUAAGACGUAAACCAGAGAUUAAAUAUAAGAAAGAAGAAGAGUUAAAAGACAUCACUUCUAUACAAAAGAAAAUUUUAGAAAAUGCAUCCAGAUAUGUCAAAGUUGGUGGAACUUUAGUAUAUAGUACAUGUACAAUUCAAGAUGAUGAGAAUAUAAAUAUAGUUGCUUCUUUUGUUGAAGAAAAUCACAACUUUGAAUUUGAUUCGAUUGAUACAGUAAAUGUAGAUUUAGAUAAUCAAGAUAAAGGAUAUUUAAAGAUAUAUCCUAAUAUUCAUGGUAUAGAUGGUUUUUUCAUAGCAAAAUUAAAGAGAAUAAGGUAGUGAGAGAAUGGAAAAGAAAAAGAUAGUAUUAAAAAAUUUUACUGAAGAUGAACUUAAAGAAUUUAUGAAAACUAUAGAUGAAAAGCCCUUUAGAGGAAGCCAAAUAUUCUCUUGGAUAUAUAAGGGUGCAAAAACUUUUGAGGAUAUGAAUAAUAUACCAAAAAGUUUGAGAAAUAAAUUAGAAGAAAUUUCAUGUAUAGGUCAUAUAGAUAUAGAAUUAAAGUUAGAAUCUAAGGUAGAUAAUACAAAAAAAUAUUUGUUUUUAUUAGAUGAUGGAAAUAUAAUAGAAACUGUGAUGAUGGAUUAUGAUAGUAGAGUUACUGUCUGUGUCUCUAAUCAAGUAGGUUGUAGGAUGGGAUGUAAUUUUUGUGCAUCUACAAUG
rnacentral:rRNA from 1 species